rnacentral:sRNA from 1 species
AAGUUUGAUUAGUUCACUAAGUAUCUAAACCAGAGCCCUUCUAUGAGCCUACAUGUUCGUUUCUUAAAUACUUAGGCCCAUCUAUGAUAGUUCUGGUAACAGGUACCUAUGGU